GACGAACGCUGGCGGCGUGCCUAAUACAUGCAAGUAGAACGAUGAAGGGGGAGCUUGCUCUUCUGGAUGAGUUGCGCAUGGGUGAGUAACUCGUAGGUAACCUGCCCGGUAGCGGGGGAUAACUAUUAGAAACGAUAGCUAAUACCGCAUAAGAGUAGAUGUUGCAUGACAUUUGCUUUAAUGGUGCAUUUGCAUCACUACCAGAUGGACCUGGGUUGUAUUAGCUAGGUGGUGGGGUAACGGCUCACCAAGGCGACGAUACAUAGACGACCUUAGAGGGUGAACGGGUACAUUGUGUGUGAGACACGGCCCAGACACCGACACGGGGCAGCAGUAGGGACUUCUCCGGAAUGGAGGAGAGACUGACCGAGCAACGUGGCGUGAGGGCUGAUGGUGUUCGGAUCGUAAAGGUCUGUUGUAAGUGAAGAACGAGUGUGAGAGUGGAAAGUUCAAACUGUGACUGUAUCUUACCAGAAAGGGACGGCUAACUACGUG
rnacentral:rRNA from 1 species